GAUUUGGUCCGCGCUGGAUGGCUCCUCUGGGAGGCAGGCGUGGGGGUCGGGUUCGGAGCCCCCGUGCGGGCCCCCCCACCAGAGCCCACGGCGCUUACGGAGCUCUUUAAGAUAAAUGAGCAAAAUUAAGAGACUCACUGGGGGAAGAAAACACGGGAUGGCAGCGAGCGAGAGCGGCUGGUACAGGGUUUCCGCCCAGAGAUUCAUCCACGUGCGCCCCACUGGGGCCUCCCCCAUCUGCCGCAGACUCCAGGGAGCUCUCUUCCCCAAGAAGAACUUCCAGACCCCGGGGCGCCUUUCUUCCUCCCCCUGGAUGUGGUCGUUGAAAAGGGCAGAGACCUUUCUAGAAGGACGCAUGACUCAGGACAGGACACAGGCAGUGGAAGCCCGUGACUGAAGCAAGCCCCCAGGCCUCACCUCCAAGGCAGGGUUUAACACUUCUGGUCGGCUGAGCAGCAAACUGCAGACGCUUUACCAUGAGCCACCAGGGAAGCCCAUCGGAAGGACUG